AGAACGAACGCUGGCGGCAUGCCUAAUACAUGCAAGUCGAACGAACUCUCGGAGUUAGUGGCGCACGGGUGCGUAACGCGUGGGAAUCUGCCCCUUGGUUCGGAAUAACAGUUGGAAACGACUGCUAAUACCGGAUGAUGACGAAAGUCCAAAGAUUUAUCGCCAAGGGAUGAGCCCGCGUAGGAUUAGCUAGUUGGUGAGGUAAAGCUCACCAAGGCAACGAUCCUUAGCUGGUCUGAGAGGAUGAUCAGCCACACUGGGACUGAGACACGGCCCAGACUCCUACGGGAGGCAGCAGGUACGGGAAUAUUGGACAAGUGGGCGAAAGCCUAGAUCCGAGCAAUCGCCGCGUGAGUGAGUGAAGGUCCGUUAGGUUGUAAAGGUCUUACGUUUUACCCGAGAGUACGAAUAA
rnacentral:rRNA from 1 species